CGUGGGUGGCGGAGCUUGUCCGGCGAUGGGGUGCACUCGCACGUCUGGGGGUUGUGUCAGGCAGACAAAGCGCGCGCGCGGCGGAGUGGGACCAGCAGGCGGGGUGCACUCGCGCAGCGGCGGGUUAUGUCCGGCAGACGAAGCGCGCGUGCGGCGGAGUGGGACCAACAGGCGAGGUGCACUCGCGCAGCGGCGGGUUAUGUCCGGCAGACGCGUGCGCGGCGGAGUGGGACCAACAGGCAGGGUGCACUCGCGCAACGGCGGGUUAUGUCCGGCAGACGCGCGCGCGGCGGAGUGGGACCAACAGGCGAGGUGCACUCGCGCAACGGCAGGUUAUGUCCGGCAGACGCGCGCACGGCGGAGUGGGACCAACAGGCGAGGUUAUCUCCGGCAGACGAGGUACACUCGCGCGACAGCGGAGUGUGACCGGCAGUCUUGGUGUGCUCGCGCGGCUGCGGA
rnacentral:lncRNA from 1 species